GGACGAACGCUGGCGGCGUGCCUAAUACAUGCACGUCGAGCGGACGAAUCGAAAGCUUGCUUUUGAUUCGUUAGCGGCGGACGGGUGAGUAACACGUGGGCAACCUGCCCUGUAGACGGGGAUAACACCGAGAAAUCGGUGCUAAUACCGGAUAACACGAAAUGUCGCAUGACGUUUCGUUGAAAGACGGCGCAAGCUGCCGCUACAGGAUGGGCCCGCGGCGCAUUAGCUAGUUGGUGAGGUAACGGCUCACCAAGGCGACGAUACGUAGCCGACCUGAGAGGGUGAUCGGCCACACUGGGACUGAGACACGGCCCAGACUCCUACGGGAGGCAGCAGUAGGGAAUCUUCCGCAAUGGACGAAAGUCUGACGGAGCAACGCCGCGUGAGCGAAGAAGGCCUUCGGGUCGUAAAGCUCUGUUGUUAGGGAAGAACAAGUAACGCAGUAACUGGCGUUACCGUGACGGUACCUAACGAGAAAGCCACGGCUAACUACGUG
rnacentral:rRNA from 1 species